rnacentral:rRNA from 1 species
UACGGGGGGAGCAAGCGUUGUUCGGAUUUACUGGGCGUAAAGGGCGCGUAGGCGGCCACCGCAAGUCAGUUGUGAAAGCUCUGGGCUUAACCCAGAAAGGUCAGCUGAUACUGCGGGGCUAGAGUGCAGAGGGGGCAACUGGAAUUCUUGGUGUAGCGGUGAAAUGCGUAGAUAUCAAGAGGAACACCUGCGGCGAAGGCGGGUUGCUGGGCCGACACUGACGCUGAUGCGCGAAAGCUAGGGGAGCGAACGGG